CCUUUGUACACACCGCCCGUCGCUACUACCGAUUGAAUGGCUUAGUGAGACUCUCGGAUUGGGCUUUAGGAACCGGAAACGGUUUCUAUUUUCUGAGAAGUUUGUCAAACUUGGUCAUUUAGAGG
rnacentral:rRNA from 1 species